AUGUCACAUGAAGGGAGAGAAGGUCAGCACUAGCCUUGAUAAGAAUGGAAGAGGUCCUUGUGGCUUCUUUGCAACACACAUCUGGUUAAGGCAUUACUUCCUACUCUGACAUCUAACCAUGUUUUUUC